CACUUUCCAAACUUAUGAAACAAGCUUUGACUAAAAGCAACUAAGUUUUUACUUUUUGUUGAAACCAUCGGCCACUUUCUAGCUUAUGAGAUAAGCUUUGACUAAAGCAACUUAAUCCUUAUUUUCUCCUCAAAACCGUUGGCUUCUUCAACACAAAAAGGAACAAGUCUUUUUCUCUUCUUCUCCUCUCCUCCUCUUCAAGAAAACAAGCUUCUCUCGUCUUCUUCAAGCUUUGUGACUCCAGAGCAAGGGAAGAAGAAAGACAUUUUUCUCUCAUCCUCUUCAAGCCGUACUAGAACACUCUCUCCAUCCUCAUUUUGGGUUUUGACUCAAAGCUUGGAACCAAAGCUUGAUUUCAUCUUCCAAAUGGUGAAAUCUUGCAAGUAAUAGACUUUUGGUUUAUUCCCUAGUAUGAUUUACAUGUAGGUUUUGAGCUUCACCAUUUUUCUUACCUAUGAUGUUUCGGUUUUGGGAGUAACACAGUGCCAUCAUUUUGUUCUUCAUCUACAUGGGUUUACCACUAUUUGGUCCUCUAUCUUGCCUCUUGAAAGAAGCUAAGAGCUUGAGGUAAAAACCCUAACUUGACUCUUUUGAUUUUAAUGUGAUUUUGGAAGCCAACUAAGUUGUUUAAGCUUAUAUUUUGGUGUACUUAAAUUCUUAUGUUGCAUAUAAAUAUGAGUGCUCUGUUUUGGCCCAAACCAAAUAUGUUGAAGUAGUUUUGCUAUGUAUUUUCCUAUGUUUCGAAAAUGCUAUGUUGCUAUUAAACUUGAUUUAAUCAUAGGUGAUGAUUAGUGUAUUUUUAGUAUAUAUAUGUUGGUACCAUGUGUAUUGUGUUGAGGUUCGGUUUAGAGGUUUUGCUUGAGUUUUAUAAUUUUAUAUCUUGCUUUUAAAAGGGGUAUUAAAUGGGUAAAGCAUAAGCUUGAUUGUUUAAAGGUUUUAAUGUUGCUUAAUGGAUAAUUUUGCUGUACUUUAUGCUACUCUAAUUUUAAUGGGAUAUAUUGUCUAAACUAUUUAAAUAUUGCUUGUGUGAUUAGAUUAUAGCAUAAUUGGUUUAAGGUUCUGCUUAGCCACUGAGAAUUCUCAGAUGAGAAUUUUGAGUUUUAAAAUUAAAUAUUAAAAUAUUAUAUUUUAAUAUUAUUAUUAUUUUGGGAUUUGAAAAAGUUAAGAAAAAGUUGAAUUGUUUAUUAUAUUUUGUAUGGAGAUUUGGGAAAGUUGUAAUGAUGAGAUGAGAAUUUUGUGUUUAAGAUGAAAAAUUCAAAUGGCCAAACAGUACCUAAGUAUAGGAGAUUACUUGUGCAUAAUAUAUUAUGAUAUUUAAAGCUAUCCAAUAAGCAGAAAAAUUUUAUAAAAUGCCUUAUGUUGAUGCCUAAAGUAGUCCUUGGCUUUACUCUUUCUCAAUUUAUUUCCCUACCAACCCAAAAGCCCAUUUGUUUGCAAGGUAGCCCUUUCAAAUAAGGGACACAAUUAACUAUUUUAAAAGAGGCAUGUUCCUAAAAUUUUAUAGCCUAUAUAAGAUGUCAAAACUACCCCAAGCAUCUUUUUUAGAAAUUUUUCAGAUUUGAGCCCUUUAUCUCCAUUGAUUUCAAAGUAAGCUUAAAUCCAAUAAACCUUAUUAAGCUCAUGAGUCUUCAACUACCUUUCCAUAUAAAAUACCCAAGUGGCCCUUUCAUGAACAGCUAACAUGCUCUAGUAUUAAUUAUGUUGUUCUUGUAAAGAUUAGAUGAGAGGCUAGUUAAUUGGGUUAGUGCUAAGCAUAGGAGGAAAGUUAGAUUGUAGUUAGAUUGUAAUAUUAUGGCUUUCUCGUUUAAAGGGAGGCCCAAAGAACAUUGUAUGAGUAUUAACAUGCUUAUACUAUUUAUUGGAAUAAGACCUAUAUUAACGUUGGAAGUACCAAGGCACCUUGAGGUAAGUAGCUAUGACCAUGAUCUUACACAAAGUUUUCUCAUGAAAGAAUGUCUCUCUCUCUCUCUCUCUCUCAUUACAAAUGUUCUUCUAAAGAAAGGAUAAAUGACUCUAUAUUAAGUAUAAACCUUUCUUGGUAGCCCCUAUUAAGCACCCUAUCAAUUAUAAUUGUCUAUAUGUGUAUAUGGUAAUGCAUGCACAUAGGUUUUAGGUCAUGAGAUUUUUAUACAUGCUCUCUCAAAUAACUAAUGCCUUACUUAAACGUAAACAUGACAUGAAACGCUCUUUUUCCAAAAUAAACGCAUAUGCAUCGAACUAAGAAAAGAUAAUGAAAACGUUUGACUGCAAAGAAAUGAAAUGAAGGUUAAGGUAUGAACAUACAUAACGGCCAUAUGAAAUGAAAGGGAACCAAAGGACUGAGCAGAUUGCAAUGUUGGAUAAGUAAUACUGGUAGUGCACCAAUGCUGCCCUUAACUGAAAGGGAUUCCUAAUCUGUGGCCACAAGCGGAGUCUAAGUCCAAAAGACCGCUAACCCCAACACACAGGGCGUAAUAGUGUGCCGGCCAAAAGAAAGUGAAACAUGUAAUGAUGGAGAAGCUGAGGAGCUGGGCACUACCAAGAAGGGAGGGACCGAUGCUUAGUAGUCCCUUGUUGGUUCGGUUCUUUUGAUGAUGGCUUAUGGUUUAUAUGUUUUGAGGAAGGAGCCCAUGUGGGGACGUUUAUUUGAAUUAACCUUUAGACAAUGUACCUUCGGGUACGAUAUAAAUUUUAUGAUGGGAUGAUGGUAAUAGUGUAAUUUCUAUGAUGGGGUGAUGGUAACUCCUCGUACUUUAACUUAAUUUCCUUUUUGUAUAAACUGUAGGGACUGAGUUCCUUUUUACUUGAAAUUGGCUAUGUUAGAUGAAUGACUGAUAGACGCUAAGAGUCCUUUAUGAAUGAAUGUUAAAUCGGAUGUCUA